UACAGAGGGGGCAAGCGUUAUUCGGAAUUAUUGGGCGUAAAGGGCGCGUAGGCGGCUUUGCAAGUGACGGGUGAAAUCCCUCGGCUUAACCGAGGAACUGCCUGUCAAACUGCAUGGCUUGAGACCGGGAGAGGUGAGUGGAAUUCCCAGUGUAGCGGUGAAAUGCGUAGAUAUCUGGAGGAACACCGGUGGCGAAGGCGACGUCCUGGACCGGCAUUGACGCUGAGGCGCGAAAGCCAGGGGAGCAAACGGG
rnacentral:rRNA from 1 species